GACUUUCUGGACGAAAACUGACGNUGAGGCGCGAAAGCCAGGGGAGCGAACGGGAUUAGAUACCCCGGUAGUCCUGNCCGUAAACGAUGGGUACUAGGUGUAGGAGGUAUCGACCCCUUCUGUGCCGGAGUUAACGCAAUAAGUACCCCGCCUGGGGAGUACGACCGCAAGGUUGAAACUCAAAGGAAUUGACGGGGGCCCGCACAAGCGGUGGAGUAUGUGGUUUAAUUCGACGCAACGCGAAGGACCUUACCAGGUCUUGACAUUGAUGGACAGAACUAGAGAUAGUUCCUCUUCUUCGGAAGCCAGAAAACAGGUGGUGCACGGUUGUCGUCAGCUCGUGUCGUGAGAUGUUGGGUUAAGUCCCGCAACGAGCGCAACCCCUAUCUUAUGUUGCCAGCACGUAAUGGUGGGAACUCAUGAGAGACUGCCGCAGACAAUGCGGAGGAAGGCGGGGAUGACGUCAAAUCAUCAUGCCCCUUAUGACCUGGGCUACACACGUACUACAAUGGGAGUUAAUAGACGGAAGCGAGAUCGCGAGAUGGAGCAAACCCGAGAAACACUCUCUCAGUUCGGAUCGUAGGCUGCAACUCGCCUACGUGAAGUCGGAAUCGCUAGUAAUCGCAGGUCAGCAUACUGCGGUGAAUACGUUCCCGGGCCUUGUACACACCGCCCGUCACACCACGAAAGUCGGAAGUGCCCAAAGCCGGUGGGGUAACCUUCGGGAGCCAGC
rnacentral:rRNA from 1 species